UUCGAGGCCAAAUCCUUUAAUACUUUAACACUGACUUCCAUGUUACGGAUCUACAUAAAACAAAUAUAUAUAUAUAUAUAUCAUUGACAAUUCCACAUCAUACAAUAUAAGUCAAUAAACGACACAAGUCGUUCAGCAUGAAGUCCAUAGUACCUUCAUGGCUAUUAUAAAGUAUAAUAAGGUAUUUUAACACGUAACAAAGUAUAAUAAGGUAUUUAACACAUCACAAAGAAUGUUAAGGUAUUUUGUUAUUUCAUUUAUUUUGCUGUUGCUUUUUUCCGUAGCGACUUACAAUGAGUGCCUUCAACCAUGAAGGUUCAAUAUCAACAGAAUCCACUUGUAGGGCUAGAUAUGAGACCUCAGGGUUCACUAUAGAAUCAAGACCUCAGGGUUCACUAUAGAAUCAAGACCUCAGGGUUCACUAUAGAAUCAAGACCUCAGGGUUCACUAUAGAAUCAAGACCUCAGGGUUCACUAUAGAAUCAAGACCUCAGGGUUCACUAUAGAAUCAAGACCUCAGGGUUCACUAUAUAAACAAUACCUCAGGGUUCACUAUAGAAACAAGACUUCAGGGUUCACUAUAGAAACAAGACGUCAGGGUUCACUAUAGAAAGAAGACUUCAGGGUUCACUGUAGAAACAAGACUUCAGGGUUCACUAUAGAAAGAAGACUUCAGGGUUCACUAUAGACACAAGACUUCAAGGUUCACUAAAGAAUCAAGACUUCAGGGUUCACUAUAUGAACAAGACCUCAGGGUUCACUAUAGAAUCAAGACUUCACACUACUACAUUAGGUAAUAGUAUUACUGCAGUAGUACUGUAGUAGUUGAUAGUAGUACUGCAAUAGGUAAAAGUAGUACUGCAGUAGUUCUGUAGUAGGUGAUAUUAGAACUGUAGUAGUACAGCAGUAUUAUUAUCACAUCUUCUCAUCCUGCUGCAUUCCACUGUUUGCCUCGGUCAAGUCUAACGAGGUACCCAGGCCUCCAGAGUUCUCAAGGUCUUUUGGGGUUUCAAGGUCUCUGGAGGUCUCAGGGUCUCUCCAGGUCUCCAGGUCUCUGGGGGUCUCAAGGUCUCCCCCAGGUCUCCAGGUCUCUGGAGGUCUCAAUGUCUCCCAAGGUCUCCAGGACUCUGGGGGUCUCUAGUGGAGUCUCCAGGUCUCUGGGGGUCUCCAUGAGUCUUGGAUUCAUGGAUUCUCCAGGUCUCUGGAGAGACCUGGAGUAUUUGGGAGUCUCCAGGUCUCUUGAGGCCUGGAGCUCUUUGGGGCUCUCUAGGUAUUUGGAGAUGUCCAGGACUCUUAAGGUCUCCAGGUCUCUGGGGGUCUCUAGAUCUUUGGGGGACUCCAGGUCUUUGGGGCUCCGUAGGUAUUUGGGGAUCUCCAGGACUCUCCAGGUCUCCAGGUCUCUGGGGGUCUCUAGAUCUUUGGGGGACUCCAGAUCUUUGGGGCUCUCUAGGCAUUUGGGGAUAUCCAGGUCUCUCCAGGUCUCCAGGUCUCUGGGGGUCUCUAGAUCUUUUGGGGACUCCAGGUCUUUGGGGGGUCUCAAGGAUUCUUGGUGUCUCCAUGUCUCCCAGGGUCUCAAUGUAUCUUGGGGUCUCCUGGUGUCUGGGGUUCUCCAUUAGUCUUGGAUUCUCCAGGUCUCUGGAGGUCUCCAGGACUCUGGGGCUCUCAAGGACUCUGGGGGUCUCCAGUGAGGUUGUCAGGUCUCUUGAGGCCUGAAAUUCUUUGGGGCUAUCCAGGUCUUUGGGGGUCUCUGGGUCUUUGGGGGUCUCCAGGACUUUGUGGGGCUCCAGGCCCCUCGGGGUUUCCAGGUCUUUGGGGGUCUCCAGGAUUCCAGGGAUCUCCAGGUCUUUUGAGGCCUGGAACUCUUUUGGGCUCUCCGGGUCUCGGGGGGUCUCCAGGUCUUUAGCCCCCCCCCAGGCCCCCAGGGACCUGCGGGAGCUCCGGGUGCUGGCGGCUCUGGCGAGCCGUGUGAGGGUGUGUUGGUAGGGGGAGGGGAGGUAGACCAUGAGGAAGACCCCGUCGGCCGGGUCCUGCUCCUCCGAGCUGGCACUGGAGGUGCGCCAGCGCCGGCUGUUGCUGCGGCGGCAGGAAGAGAGCAGCUCGCGGCUCCUCUCCGGGUCUCUCAGGUCCUCCAGGGUCUCCAGGACCUCCAGGACCUCGGGGUCCUCCAGGUCCUCCAGGUCCUCCAGGGCGAUCACGUUGGCCAGAAGGCCCGGCUUCCUAACCCCGGCCCGCCGCCGCCGACAAGCCAGCAGCCCCAGCACCCCCCCCAGGAGGAGAAGCAAGGCCGCCGUCGCCGUGACCACCGAGACGACGGACAGCUUGCCGAGGCGGGACUCCCCCGGACUGGUCUGGUC
ensembl:lncRNA